rnacentral:rRNA from 1 species
ACGCUCGACACCUACGGGGGCAGCAGUGAGGAAUAUUGGUCAAUGGACGCAAGUCUGAACCAGCCAUGCCGCGUGCAGGAUGACGGCUCUAUGAGUUGUAAACUGCUUUUGUACGAGGGUAAACGCAGAUACGUGUAUCUGUCUGAAAGUAUCGUACGAAUAAGGAUCGGCUAACUCCGUGCCAACAGCCGCGGUAAUCUGAGCGGGCUGGCAAGGC